AACACAAUGACACUCAGCCUAGUGCAGGAACACAAUGACACUCAGCCUAGUGCAGGAACACAAUGACACUCAGCCUAGUGCAGGAACACAAUGACACUCAGCCUAGUGCAGGAACACAAUGGUUUUGGGGAAGCUAAGAGCCUAUUGAAAUGAUUUGAAUUAGGCAAUCAUUCAGACAAUGUUGCCAAACCAAACCUUGCACCAGGCCUGUUGAUUGUGCCUAACAUUCCUUCUCCCCUCAAUGCUAACCUGUCACCAGUCACAAUGGUUUUGGGAAAGACCUCUAAUUGGAGCACUCACGCAGGUGUUAGAGGAUCACUCACGCAGGUGUUAGAGGAUCACUCACGCAGGUGUUAGAGGAUCACUCACGCAGGUGUUAGAGGAUCACUCACGCAGGUGUUAGAGGAUCACUCACGCAGGUGUUAGAGGAUCACUCACGCAGGUGUUAGAGGAUCACUCACGUAGGUGUUAGAGGAUCACUCACGCAGGUGUUAGAGGAUCACUCACGUAGGUGUUAGAGGAUCACUCACGCAGGUCUUAGAGGAUCACUCACGCAGGUGUUAGAGGAUCACUCACGCAGGUGUUAGAGGAUCACUCACGUAGGUGUUAGAGGAUCACUCACGUAGGUGUUAGAGGAUCACUCACGUAGGUGUUAGAGGAUCACUCACGUAGGUGUUAGAGGAUCACUCACGUAGGUGUUAGAGGAUCACUCACGCAGGUGUUAGAGGAUCACUCACGCAGGUGUUAGAGGAUCACUCACGCAGGUGUUAGAGGAUCACUCACGCAGGUGUUAGAGGAUCACUCACGUAGGUGUUAGAGGAUCACUCACGUAGGUUUUAGAGGAUCACUCACGUAGGUUUUAGAGGAUCACUCACGUAGGUUUUAGAGGAUCACUCACGCAGGUUUUAGAGGAUCACUCACGUAGGUUUUAGAGGAUCACUCACGCAGGUUUUAGAGGAUCACUCAGACAAAGGUCCUCUGUCAUGGGACAAUGUCUAACCCAAAGAAAUAGAAUAUAUUAGUGAAAUGACUAUUAUUAUUAAUAGAUUCUAUGGUCUCCCCCUCUUCUCCCCCGUUUUCCCCCUCUUCUCCCCCGUUGUCCCCCCUCUUGUCCCCCUCUUCUCCCCCGUUUUCCCCCUCUU